rnacentral:rRNA from 1 species
AGAGUUUGAUCCUGGCUCAGGACGAACGCUGGCGGCGUGCUUAACACAUGCAAGUCGAACGGAAAGGCCCUGCUUGCAGGGUACUCGAGUGGCGAACGGGUGAGUAACACGUGGGUGAUCUGCCCUGCACUUCGGGAUAAGCUUGGGAAACUGGGUCUAAUACCGGAUAGGACCGCACUUUAGUGUGUGUGGUGGAAAGUUUUUUCGGUGUAGGAUGAGCUCGCGGCCUAUCAGCUUGUUGGUGGGGUAAUGGCCUACCAAGGCGGCGACGGGUAGCCGGCCUGAGAGGGUGUACGGCCACAUUGGGACUGAGAUACGGCCCAGACUCCUACGGGAGGCAGCAGUGGGGAAUAUUGCACAAUGGGCGGAAGCCUGAUGCAGCAACGCCGCGUGCGGGAUGACGGCCUUCGGGUUGUAAACCGCUUUCGCCUGUGACGAAGCGUGAGUGACGGUAAUGGGUAAAGAAGCACCGGCUAACUACGUGCCAGCAGCCGCGGUGAUACGUAGGGUGCGAGCGUUGUCCGGAUUUAUUGGGCGUAAAGGGCUCGUAGGUGGUUGAUCGCGUCGGAAGUGUAAUCUUGGGGCUUAACCCUGAGCGUGCUUUCGAUACGGGUUGACUUGAGGAAGGUAGGGGAGAAUGGAAUUCCUGGUGGAGCGGUGGAAUGCGCAGAUAUCAGGAGGAACACCAGUGGCGAAGGCGGUUCUCUGGGCCUUUCCUGACGCUGAGGAGCGAAAGCGUGGGGAGCGAACAGGCUUAGAUACCCUGGUAGUCCACGCUGUAAACGGUGGGUACUAGGUGUGGGGUCCAUUCCACGGGUUCCGUGCCGUAGCUAACGCUUUAAGUACCCCGCCUGGGGAGUACGGCCGCAAGGCUAAAACUCAAAGGAAUUGACGGGGCCCCGCACAAGCGGCGGAGCAUGCGGAUUAAUUCGAUGCAACGCGUAGAACCUUACCUGGGUUUGACAUGGAUCGGGAGUGCUCAGAGAUGGGUGUGCCUCUUUUGGGGUCGGUUCACAGGUGGUGCAUGGCUGU